CACCUUUUGACAAAAUUAGUUUCCUUGUGAUGAGACAGAGGUUCUCUCUCUCUGUCUCUCUCUCAUUUUUUGCAGGGCAAGCAUAAGCGAAGAGAUGAUGGGACAGUUUAAAGCACAUUUGGCAACUGUUACCAGCAGAAGGCAAAUUAGGAAGAAAGAUCAACACACAAGGAGAACACCAUAUGUUGAUGAAGGCGGAGAUCAAGGUGAUGUUGCUACGAGCCCAGGAAGAGCAAAAAUUGCCAGCCAGCCACCAGAAGCUGGGCAAGAGACACGGAACAGAUUUUCUGUCCGAGCCCUCAGAGAACAAGAGCCCGGCUGACAUCGUCAUCUCAGAUUUGUAGCCUGCGGAAGUAUGAGACAAUAGAUUUCUGUUGUUUAAGUCACACGCUUGUCUAAGCCCUAGCAAACUAAUAUAAUAUCUUUCUGGUUAAGUCUUGAAUAUCCAAGUUAUAGUCGGUCUUGAUUUUAAUCUUCUACCCUGACUAUGUGAGCCCUUCAGUUGUGUUUCUGUCAGCAUUUGACCACCUAACUACUCUGUAAAAUAGUCAAUAAACCUACGAGCUUUGUAUUUCAUAUAUCAUAAAACUGCUCACAGUGCAAGUGCU
rnacentral:lncRNA from 1 species